rnacentral:rRNA from 1 species
AUUGAACGCUGGCGGCAGGCCUAACACAUGCAAGUCGAACGAGUGGCGGACGGGUGAGUAAUGCCUGGGAAACUGCCUGAUGGAGGGGGAUACCUACUGGAAACGGUAGCUAAUACCGCAUACCAUCGGAUGUGCCCAAAUGGGAUUAGCUUGUUGGUGGGGUAACGACUCACCAAGCCGACGAUCCCUAGCUGGUCUGCGAGGAUGACCAGCCACACUGGAACUGAGAAACGGUCCAGACUCCUGCGGGAGGCAGCAUUGGGGAAUAUUGCAAAAUGGGGGCAAGCCUGAUGCAGCCAUGCCGCGUGUAUGAAGAAGGCCUGCGGGUUGUAAAGUACUUUCAGCGGGGAGGCGUUACCCGCAGAAGAAGCACCGGCUAACUCCGUGCCGGCAGCCGCGGUAAUAC